rnacentral:rRNA from 1 species
GUCCACGCCGUAAACGAUGGGCACUAGGUGCUUGGGGGAGCGACCCCCGAGUGCCGGCGCUAACGCAUUAAGUGCCCCGCCUGGGGAGUACGGCCGCAAGGCUGAAACUCAAAGGAAUUGACGGGGCCCGCACAAGCGGUGGAGCAUGUGGUUUAAUUCGACGCAACGCGAAGAACCUUACCUGGGCUUGACAUGCGCGGGAAACGCCCCAGAAAGGGGGCGCCCUCUUCGGAGUCCGCGCACAGGUGCUGCAUGGCUGUCGU